AUUGAACGCUGGCGGCAGGCCUAACACAUGCAAGUCGAGCGGAUGACGGGAGCUUGCUCCUUGAUUCAGCGGCGGACGGGUGAGUAAUGCCUAGGAAUCUGCCUGGUAGUGGGGGACAACGUUUCGAAAGGAACGCUAAUACCGCAUACGUCCUACGAGAGAAAGCAGGGGACCUUCGGGCCUUGCGCUAUCAGAUGAGCCUAGGUCGGAUUAGCUAGUUGGUGGGGUAAUGGCUCACCAAGGCGACGAUCCGUAACUGGUCUGAGAGGAUGAUCAGUCACACUGGAACUGAGACACGGUCCAGACUCCUACGGGAGGCAGCAGUGGGGAAUAUUGGACAAUGGGCGAAAGCCUGAUCCAGCCAUGCCGCGUGUGUGAAGAAGGUCUUCGGAUUGUAAAGCACUUUAAGUUGGGAGGAAGGGCAGUAAGCUAAUACCUUGCUGUUUUGACGUACCGACAGAAUAAGCACCGGCUAACUCUGUGCCAGCCGCCGCGGUAA
rnacentral:rRNA from 1 species